GCAGUCGAGCGGACCUGAUGGAGUGCUUGCACUCCUGAAGGUUACCGGCGAACGGGUGAGUAACACGUAGGCAACCUGCCCUCAAGACUGGGAUACCUACCGGAAACGGUAGCUAAUACCGAAUAAUUUAUUUUGCACCAUUGUGGAUUAAUGAAAGGCGGAGCAUUCUGUCUCUUGAGGAUGGGCCUGCGGCGCAUUACCUAGUUGGUGGGGUAACGGCCCACCAAGGCAACAAUGCGUAGCCGACCUGAAAGGGUGAACGGCCACCCUGGUACUGAAACACGGCCCAAACUCCUACGGGAGGCAGCAGUAGGGAAUCUUCCGCAAUGGGAAAAACCCUGACGGAGCAACCCCGCGGGAGUGAUGAAGGUUUUCGGAUCG
rnacentral:rRNA from 1 species